rnacentral:rRNA from 1 species
AACGUAGGUCACAAGCGUUGUCCGGAAUUACUGGGUGUAAAGGGAGCGCAGGCGGGAAGACAAGUUGGAAGUGAAAUCCAUGGGCUCAGCCCAUGAACUGCUUUCAAAACUGUUUUUCUUGAGUAGUGCAGAGGUAGGCGGAAUUCCCGGUGUAGCGGUGGAAUGCGUAGAUAUCGGGAGGAACACCAGUGGCGAAGGCGGCCUACUGGGCACCAACUGACGCUGAGGCUCGAAAGUGUGGGUAGCAAACAGG